AACGCACGAGACCUGCGGACCUGCGGAGGGAUCAUUACCGAGUACCGAUGCCCUCGGGCGUCUGCUCCCACCCUUUGUGAACCUGAAACCGUUUCUUCGGCGGGCCGUGGCCCUGCCCCCCCGGACUCGCGCUGGGGAGCGCCCGCCGGGGACCCUUUUUAAACUCUUGUCAACCGAACUCUGAGUACCUACAAAUAAACAAAACUUUUAACAAUGGAUCUCUAGAUCGGAAGAGCACAC
rnacentral:misc_RNA from 1 species